GCAGAGAUGUAUAAGUGGCAUACCGUUACAAGUAUUAUUACCACAAACAUCACAAUAUAUCACCUAUGAGGGUUCCUUAACACAACCACAAUGUCAAGAAACUGUAACAUGGGUUAUUUUUAACAAACCAAUAUAUAUAACUGAACGUCAACUUCUUCUACUGCGCAAUAUAAAUAAAGAGAGCGGAAAACAUUUACUGCUUUUUGGAAAUAUCCGUCCGUCACAACCUGUCAACAACCGAUUGGUGCGAACUAAUAUAAGCUACAAGCCUAGGACUAAAGCGUGUUCUAUGGCAAAAGAAGUAUUCUAUGAAG